AACGAACGCUGGCGGCAUGCCUAACACAUGCAAGUCGAACGUGAUCCGGGGCUUGCUCCGGUGAAAGUGGCGGACGGGUGAGUAACGCGUGGGAACCUGCCCUUUGGUUGGGGAUAACUGCGGGAAACUGCGGCUAAUACCCGAUGCACCCGAGAGGGGAAAGAUUUAUCGCCGAAGGAUGGGCCCGCGUCGGAUUAGGUAGUUGGUGGGGUAACGGCCUACCAAGCCUUCGAUCCGUAGCUGGUCUGAGAGGAUGAUCAGCCACACUGGGACUGAGAUACGGCCCAGACUCCUACGGGAGGCAGCAGUGGGGAAUAUUGGACAAUGGGCGCAAGCCUGAUCCAGCAAUGCCGCGUGAGUGAAGAAGGCCUUAGGGUUGUAAAGCUCUUUCGGCGGGGACGAUGAUGACGGUACCCG
rnacentral:rRNA from 1 species